rnacentral:tRNA from 1 species
UCUUCGAUAGUAUAGUGGUCAGUAUUUCUGCUUGUCAUUCUCAGGAACAGCUCGCAGGAGGCCGGGGUUCGAUUCCCCGUCGGAGAG